rnacentral:rRNA from 1 species
UACGAAGGGGGCUAGCGUUGCUCGGAAUCACUGGGCGUAAAGCGCACGUAGGCGGAUCUUUAAGUCAGGGGUGAAAUCCUGGAGCUCAACUCCAGAACUGCCUUUGAUACUGGGGAUCUCGAGUCCGGGAGAGGUGAGUGGAACUCCGAGUGUAGAGGUGAAAUUCGUAGAUAUUCGGAAGAACACCAGUGGCGAAGGCGGCUCACUGGCCCGGUACUGACGCUGAGGUGCGAAAGCCAGGGGAGCAAACGGG